rnacentral:misc_RNA from 1 species
UAAGCUGACUAAUACUAAUUACCCGUAUCUUUGGCCAUAUUUUUGUCUUCCUUGUAAAAACCCUGGUGGUUAAAGAAAAGAGGAAACACCUGUUAUCAUUCCGAACACAGAAGUUAAGCUCUUAUUCGCUGAUGGUACUGCGAGUUCGCGGGAGAGUAGGUUAUUGCCAGGGUUUUUAUUUUUAUACUUUAAACUUUGAUUUUAUUUUUAUGUUUUUUAAAUAUUGGUGUUUUUGAAUGUGUUGUUUAAAUAACAUAAAAAAUAAAAUAUAUAUUGACAUGUAUUAAACAAAGAUAUAUAUUAUUUUAUGUUGUAUAAAUAAAUUGGCAAAAUAGAGAUGGAAGAUAAAAAUAUGGUCAAAGUAAUAAGAGUCUAUGGUA